UCUGAUCUAUGAUGACUACAUAAUACAAUGGUGACUGUUGGAUGAAGCUAGCGGAUAUGGGGCUGAGAUCAGCU